rnacentral:rRNA from 1 species
UACGGAGGGGGCUAGCGUUAUUCGGAAUUACUGGGCGUAAAGCGCACGUAGGCGGCUUUGUAAGUAAGAGGUGAAAGCCCGGAGCUCAACUCCGGAACUGCCUUUUAGACUGCAUCGCUUGAAUCCAGGAGAGGUGAGUGGAAUUCCGAGUGUAGAGGUGAAAUUCGUAGAUAUUCGGAAGAACACCAGUGGCGGAAGGACGGCGCAC